rnacentral:rRNA from 1 species
CCUGCCCAUUGAAUUAAUUUAAAAGGCCGCAGUAUUUUGACUGUGCUAAGGUAGCAUAAUCAUUAGAUUUUUAAUUGGAAUCUAGAAUGAAUGGUUAAAUGAAAUAAAUACUUUUUUAAUUUAAAUAAUUGAAUUUUUUUUUUUAGUUAAAAAACUAAAAUUAAUUUAUGGGACGAGAAGACCCUAUAGAAUUUUAUAUUAAUAAAUUUUAAUUUAAUUUAAAAAUUAAUUUUAUAAUUUAUAAAUAUUUUAUUGGGGUGAUAAUUAAAUUUAAUUAACUUUUAAUUAUAAUAUCAUUAAUUUUUGUUAAAAUGAUCUUUUUAUAUUGAUUAAAAAUAUAAAUUACCUUAGGGAUAACAGCAUAAUUUUAUUAAAAAGUUCUUAUUUUUAAUAUUGUUUAUGACCUCGAUGUUGAAUUAAAUAAAAUUAUUAUAUGAAGAUAUAUAAUAAAUAAGUCUGUUCGACUUUUAAUUAUUUACAUGAUUUGAGUUCAAACCGGUGUAAGCCAGGUCGGUUUCUAUCU